UAUCACUUCACUUCGACCAGGAGUUGUUGAGAAGACGAUCACAGCGUGAUAUUGAGAGACCAAAACCAACUACAAGAUGUUCAGCUGCAUAGGAAAACGCAGAAAGGAAAAAGUGAGUAAUCAGGAUGUCCCUGAUACUCCAGCCACCACAGUCUCAGGUUCACCUGAGAAAAAAGAGAAAAAGACUUGGUGGUGCUGCAGAUGGGUCCGUCGAGUCAAGCAGAAAAACAGGAACCGACUGAUUCCAACGAACAAAGACGUGGACGAGACGUAUGAAAUUCUUUUACUUUCUGCUCCUUUUUACAUUGAUUGAACACAUUAUAUUGAUGUUAUUUUCAUGUUGUUCACUCCAUGCGAUAGAAUUACAGCUGUGUUUCCCUUUAUCACCAGUGUCAAUAAAAGGGACCAGGAGGUUUCACCCGCCUCCAAUACUCCAGGGACGACGGAGACGAAGGAGGCGACGGAGACGAGGACGAAAAAGACACCAUGGUGGCGCCGCUGUUUAUCGUUUUUCCGUAAAAAACAGGUGAAGCCUCCAAUAGAUGACGACGGAGCCAACAACAGCACUCUGUCUGAGGUUGCCACGGUCAACUUGGUGGACAAGUUGACCGAUGGCUAUUCAGACGUGUUUGAAAUCGGCAGUCUUUUCUGCGAUGAUGACAGUGACAGUGACAUGCAGUCCAUCGCUGACAUCACUGUAGAAAUCGAUUCACUGAUUUCAAGUCUGUCCAUUCCAUUGGGACUUGGUGGGAGCCUGCAGGUUCAAGCCAAUCCCACCAGCACCAGAACCCUCUGCAGUGAGGAGCUAGUCUGCCUCGGGUAAGCAAAGACAGUCAUGGACACACUCAACACUCAUAUACAUCCAAGUAUUUGAAAACUGAACACAUUUAUACGCCACACAAAGUCUAUGAAUGUUCAUGUUUGAAG
ensembl:lncRNA